CACACCCCCAACCUCAUUCCAUUCAUUCUCAGAUACUGGGCUUAUUGUGACUUUGGAAGAGGCUUUAGGAAUGAGCAAGUCUGUCAAAAACAAGAACUGACUAUUGAAUUGGAGGGCUGUUGUUGGAGCUGAGUGAUGAGAUAGAAAGAAUAUCAGACCUAAAGGGGACUAGAGGGCAGGGAGGACAGUAAGGGCUGUUUACUAACCUGGCUAUCUACUUUGGUUCCCAGGGCUAAGUUUUUUAAGAGCUGUCUGUCCUGCAGCAGAGAUGGAGCACCAAUGGAAAGAGACCCGUCCACUCGAGUCUGGUACUGAGGGAUGACAGGAAGUGAAGGCAUUGGAAAAAAAAAAUUCACUCUGACUGGCUUCUCAUCGGCUGUCAGCCAGUGUCCAUCCCUUAUGGUCACGCCCUCUUCUAGCCUGAAGUCAUUGAGUCACAUGGUGUUGUUCUAUGAUUUUAUGAAACGAUGCCUAAUCAGUAUGAGGUCUGGAGCAAGCUAAGUCAGAAUAGCUCGAGGUUGGGGAAAGGAGGAGAAUUGGGUGCAGUGAUAGAGAAUGGUGGUCUUAUUUAGCCAGGGAGGCCAAUUGACCAAGUCUGGUUGGAUACUUAGCUAUUUCACUCAGAGUGAGUCUUUAAUGACACUUAGAAAGAUCCAAUCAUUUUUUUUUCCAGCGAAAAAUCGUAAUCCAAAUGGUUAUUUUUAACUAUGGACAAAAAUGAACAAAAAUCUAAGUUAUAUUUUUAGCUUUAGAAAGAAACAGUUUUAAUUUUCAUUAAAUGCUCUAUCAACUUGUCUCUUCCUUGGAUAGAAUUUUCCAGACACAGGAGGAACUUUUGCAUUGCAAGUACAUGUUUUCUCCUUGUUUCCCUGCACAUUUUCCUAGUUGACACUGAUAUUUUAAACUCUUUCUUGCGGACAAAAUGUCUUACCCAUAAAAUUCAAUUGUUUUAUUCAGCAACUGAAAAAUGUCAUUUUGUCUGUAGAAUCCGGACUUUGAGAUAUCAGCUUUCCCUUGUUGGUCAUAGAGACCAAGGAAGUAUAAUGGCUCCUAAAUCAUGACAGUGGCUUAUUUUGAUUUUGCAAAUGCAUAGAUCCAGAAUGUCCUAUCAUAUGAGGUGACUCAAGAAGAGAUGGGAGAGGAAGCAUAAAAGGAAGCUAAUGUAAUUGCUGUAGCCCUAGAGAGCCACACUCCAGGGAGACGCUGCUGUAACGCACUGUACCUUUCGUAGGCAGAUCUGCUUGGAGAGGCGUGUUCUGGUGUUGGGUUUGCCAGAACCUUCUUUUAAAAGGAGCUAGCUCCCCUGCUGAACAGGGCCGUUAAUUUUUCAUGGACUUAACGCUGUUAUGAGAGCAUGAAAAGGAUGAGAGAGCUUCAGGAAAAUAGUGUUGAAACAAAGUAAAAGAAGCCUUCCUCUGGUUCUAGACAGAAAAUGGAGACUGCAAUUGAACUUGGGCUUAUGAGCAAGAGACAAAAAUUAAAUACAGAACAAUUCAAUGCAAUUAACUCUUUGGUGUGAAUUUCCUGGGAAAGGAAGUUUGUGUGAAAUUCUAGCCCAUCUAGGGUCAUGCAAGACAGUCUUUAGAGAUUUAAAGAUCACAUUUCCACUCUGGCAGGUGAGUCUGCCUCACAGAGUCACUUGAUGGGGGGACGUGCCUGCCACCAUGCUAGGUCAUUCCCUGCCCUCCAUAUCUCUGAUUCUCCAUCUGUUAAAUGGGGAAAUAUUGUAAUCUUAUUAAAUUACCUGAAUGGCCAUACAAUUUUUU
rnacentral:lncRNA from 1 species